AUGGUUCUUCUGAUACCCGGGGGAGAUGUACUAUAGAUGAAAAUGGAAAAUGUUUUUCCAAGUUCCAAGAGCUUUCCAGUCUCCUCUCUGACUUUCCCGGCAGGAUUAGGCACCCCGCUGUGCCCCACAGCCCCAACACCUCUGGAGGCCCUCUUGCUGGGCCAUGUGUUCUAAGGGCGUUAGGGAUAAUAUGACUUUGACCCAUGGUAUUCCAGGUCCCAACUCUGGCAGACAGGAGGUGCUCAAUAGUUUCAUUUUUGACUUGAAGGUUCUGAAGUGAGGUCUGAUGGAGAUACGCAGCAUAGCAGCAUGCACUGUGCGGGCUCUGGCCUGUGGGUGCUGCAGGCUGCAGGGCAGAUGCUGAGUGUGUGCACGUCUCCCUGCAGCCAGGCUUCUGAGGUCCUGGAGACCCACAGCUAGGCUGGGAGCAGGAUGGCUGCUGUGAAGGUGGUAGCUGCGGAAGAAGUGGUGGCAGUGGUCACAGCCCUGGGAGAGAUGAAGGGGUCUACAUGGGCCAGCACUGAGACCUGUCAUGGAGGCCAACAGGAAUCCCCAUCCCUGGAGCCGUCUGCGACUUGCAGGCUGAGUUCUUCCCCUGCGUGGCCUGAAGUGGCCCAGCUGUGAGAAGCCAUUGUGAGGAAUGAUGUUUGUUUAAUAGAGAGUGCGCCAGCAUCGAACUGUCUGCAGGCUGAACCCCUAGGGAGGAGGAGAGGAAAGAAAGCCCGAUGGCUUCAGGCUCAGGUCUUUAAAACUCGUUCUGGGAGAGAACACAUUUGCAGAGCCCCACACUGGGCUCCAGGCUCCUAGAAGCAGCGGGAGCCUGCGUGGGGGCUUUGCAGUUCUUCAUGGAUCGCCGGUUUCAUCUUCUGGGGCCCACCACGCUGACUUGUAUGCAGCUUGCCUGGUGCCGACGGCCUCCAUCCAGCACCCCCUGGACCUGCCUCCGAGUCUGGGUUUGGGGAGCAGAAACAGCAUGAUCUGGGGGACAGGGAUGGUCCCUAGGGGUUGUUAGGCUCCUCUGCCCUCCACCCCACCCACGUAGGCACCAGAUACGAAUGCAAAUGGAGUCACCUCUGGGCCAGCUGUCCUGAUCCUCCUGGGCCCCUGGGGUUUCCCUCCUGACUCUGCUCCCUGGCGGUCUGGGCUGUCUAUGUAGUCCUGCCUGGGAGUCCCAGGCAGGCUGGCGGAGGAGAUGGUGUCAGGGCUGGGCUUGGGAGGAUAGGAGGAAGUUUCCAGGAGUGGAGGGAAGGGGUGGGCAUUUCUGAUGCUAAAAGGGGGUCCCAAGGCCUGGAGUUGCCUGGGGCCUGAGGGUGGCACUGGGAAGUCAAUAGCAGGCUUUUAAAAAUAUUUCUUAUUGUGGUAAAAUACGCAUAAUCAUGAAACUUACCAUGUUAAUCAUUAGGUAUACAGUUGAGUGACACUAAGCACAUUCACCCUGUGUAGCCGUCACCGCCCUCCCCUCCAGGAUGUGCUCAUCUUUCCAGGCCAAAGCUCCCCACCCAUGGAACACUAACUUCUCCCGCCUCCCCGUGCCGUGCUGUGCUGUGCUGUGUUGU
rnacentral:lncRNA from 1 species